GGGUCAGUAACUCAGUGGUUAGAGUGCCAACCUUAUAAGUUGGAAGUUUCGAUGGUUCGAAUCCAUCCUGACCCA
rnacentral:tRNA from 1 species